rnacentral:rRNA from 1 species
AUGGCUCCUCGUCCUCCUUGUCCCAUCCCUGCUUGGCUCCACGGUAGAUGUUGUAGAUGCCUUGCUUAUGGGCAUCGUGCUGCUGUUUGCAGAGAUCCGUUGCGGUGCUCCCGUUGUUUGGAGAAUGGUCAUCGUGCACGUGAAUGUCGCAACCCCUGGCGUCCACUGAGCUCACUAUCAUGCCUUGAUGUGCCGCAUGUGUCCCGCCUCGCCGCCGUGCAUCGUGUUGCUCCUGCUUCAUGUGAGGGUUCGGUGAGAUCCACACCCCCUUCCAAGGUGAUUCACCGUGGGUCUUGGGCGUCUGUUGUCUCUGCUGCUGCUGGCUCGGCAACCCCGUCCAAGAUGAUGUUGCAGUCCGCACUGGCUGAUCAGACUGCACUGUUGCAUGGUUGUGUGGCGCGGGUUUAG